UGUUGUUGAUGACGAUGAUGAUGAGGCUGAUGAUGAUGAUGAUGAUGACGACAUCAACAUCAUCAUCAUCAUCAUCCACGUCAUCAUCGUCAUCAUCA
rnacentral:pre_miRNA from 1 species